GUCUGUGCUUGGGGUUGACAGCCAGAUGAUGUUCCAUGACCUCCGCGUCGAUCCCUGGCAUGUCGGCUGGGACCCAAGCGAAUACAUCUGCAUUCCUCCGGAGGAAACCAACAAGGUGCGUUCGCACUUCCUCCCCCAGGUCGGAACCGAUUAACACCACAUGUUCCGCAUUCCCAUCAUUCAGGGGAAUCGGUACCAGAUCUUCGAUUGGGCCGCCCC
rnacentral:lncRNA from 1 species